rnacentral:lncRNA from 1 species
GUCAGAAAUCAAUUACGACGCCCCUGAUAUAACUCCUUGAUGAUGUGUGUCAUAUGGAAUCUUGCUUCGGUUCGUUUAGAGAUAGUGUUAGUUCUGGUAGAAGAUAUGUGCACGGUUUACACCUAAUACACCAUAGGCUAAGAAACCAUUUUAGACGCACCCGAUGGUACUCGUAGUUGAAGAGGCUCAAGUGGAGGCUCGAUUUGGUC